rnacentral:misc_RNA from 1 species
AGGGUAGAUUUGUCUUCAUGUACAGUAGUUUGUUAAGGUGAAAUACUGCUUUAGCGAUUGGCUGUUUGUUCUAUUCUUCCUGCUUAUCAUGCACUGUAUGAGCAGGCUAUUCCAAUUGUUUGAAUAGUGUUAUAGUUUUUCAAUUUUCCUUAAUCAUUGUUUGGUGCUUACCAUUUCUUUGCUUCUAGACUAGAAAGUUUUUUUGGUUCCAAGUGUUUUAAGUAAAAAUGUUUAAAAUCAUUUAACUAUGAUUUGUUAUUUUUGGCUUAAAUAAUAAAGAAAUUAUGUUGGCACUAUUUAGUCAACCUUGUGCCUUUUGGUUUCUGAGAAUAUUUUCUAUGAAUUUUGAUUUUGUUGUAAAACAAAUAUUAUAUUAAGAAAACAUGAUUGGUAAAUAUUUAAAUUUCAUUUCAUAUGAGAAAGUAAAAGCAAUUG